rnacentral:lncRNA from 1 species
CUGGUGGAGGCACCAAUUAGAUGCUGGCUCUAAUGCCGCUUGCAUGAGACUCUAUAUGAUUAUGCAUAUGAGACGGGUUCCAACCUGCCGUCUUUUUUGGAGAGAAGGGAGGCUUUAUCCUGAAUAAUUUAUUGGAAACCCCUUCCUAACACAAAAACAAAAGUCAAGUGAGCUCACUGCAGUGAAACAGCAAUUCAUCAGGACAUCUUAACUUGUCAUUCCUGGAUCCCAUUCUGUCUCCUCUCCCAUGCCCAAUCUUUGCUUAAUGAAAUACAUCACUUUUUAGGGGGAGAAGGAGGGUUUUCUCAGGCCAUAAUCUGCAUUCCCGAUGAGAAAGGUUGAGCCUCAUGGUUUGUUUUGAUAAAGCGAGUGGCUGGACAGAUGAUCUGAUCUGUAUAGGAGGUCUUUACUUUCUUGGCCUCUUUGUACUUAAAUUGCUGUUGGUGAACCUUAAAAAGGAAAUAUUUUAAAAAGACAUUUAACAUAUAGCCACAUGGAUUGUUAAAAAUCCCUUCAUGCUGUUUUAUUUAAUUUAGAAAGAAUAAAGACUAAGAAAAUAUAGAAAACAAUUUAACCGAUAGCAGUGCACUUACUACCCAUAAUGAACAAAUACAGGUGUCCUCAUAAUUGUUUCAGAUUUUUUUUUUAGGUAANNNNNNNNNNNNNNNNNNNNNNNNNNNNNNNNNNNNNNNNNNNNNNNNNUUUCCCUAGAAGCAAACAUUAUCCUAUUUGCAAGGGUAUACUCUCAUUUCAUGUUUAUCCACAAACUGCAUAUGGAUUGAUUCGUAUGUUUUAAGAUUUAUGUCAAUGUCAUUAAAAUGUACACACCCGUUUACAUCUUUCAUCAACUCUUUUCUUAAACUCAUGCUUUCAUUUUUGGUAGUUGUCCCUAUUCAAUUCAUUCAUCAUUUGGUUUUUGGUAAUUAUCCACACUGACAUAUGUCGAUUUAGUUCAUUCAUUGGAACAGUUUCAGUAGGAAGAUGUAGUGUAUGGAGAGGCCAGAAUUUAUCUAGACACUCCAUUUUCCAUGAGCAUUCAGAUUCUUUCUAAUUUUUUUGCUAUUAUUAACAAAGUUGCUACAAAAAAAUACCCUUGAGUGCUCAUGAGAAAAUUUCUUCAAUAAAAUCCUUGAACUAAAUGACUAGGUUUAAAUUUUACUAAACAUCGCCAGAUUGCUCUCCCAAGAGGCUGUAUUAUAUUGCAGCUCUCCAGCAAGGUAUAAAGUUUCCACUUAACAUUUCACCACAUUCUCUUGAUAAUGCGCAUUUUUUCUCAGUGUUUUAAUUUGCAUUUCCCUGGUCACGAUAAGGAUGGGAACGAGUACUGCUUCAUAUGUUCACUGACUAUCAAGUUUAUUCUUCCUUUGCGAAUUGAACUUUCUAAUGCAUCUGCCUUUUUUGCUAUUUGCUUUAUCUUUUUCUUAAUGAUUUGUAGAAACUCUGAGUAUUAAUUUUCAUGGGUUAUCUGAGCUGCAAACAUCUCCUCCCCAUCUGUUGCUUUAAGUUUUGCCCAAAAUAUCUUCUGUCCUUCAAUAAACCUGAAUGUUGAUCUGUUGAACCUAUGAAUAUGUUCCUGCUUUAUAAAAAGUUUGCAGAAAGGUUUCUUUGCCGUAGGUCA